rnacentral:rRNA from 1 species
UACGAAGGGGGCUAGCGUUGUUCGGAAUUACUGGGCGUAAAGCGCGCGCAGGCGGUCUUCCAAGUCAGUGGUGAAAGCCCGGAGCUCAACUCCGGAACUGCCAUUGAAACUGUAAGACUUGAGGACGAGAGAGGUGAGUGGAAUUCCCAGUGUAGAGGUGAAAUUCGUAGAUAUUCGGAAGAACACCAGUGGCGAAGGCGGCUCACUGGCUCAUACUGGACGCUGAGGUGCGAAAGCGUGGGGAGCAAACAGG